ensembl:misc_RNA Metazoa_SRP Metazoan signal recognition particle RNA
GCCGGGUGCAGUUGCGUGCACCUAUAGUCCCAGCUACUUGGGAGGCUGAGGUGGGAGGAUUGCUUGAGCCCAGGAGGCAGGGGUUGCAGUGAGUUGUGAUCGUGCCACUGCACUCCAGCCUGGACAACAGAGUAAGACCCUGUCUCAA